AUUAACCGGAUUAGAUACCCUGGUAGUCCACGCCCUAAACGAAGUCUACUAGUUGUCGGGUUUUAAUUAACUUGGUAACGCAGCUAACGCGUGAAGUAGACCGCCUGGGGAGUACGGUCGCAAGAUUAAAACUCAAAGGAAUUGACGGGGACCCGCACAAGCGGUGGAUGAUGUGGAUUAAUUCGAUGCAACGCGAAAAACCUUACCUACCCUUGACAUGUACGGAAGGCCGAAGAGAUUUGGCUGUGCUCGAAAGAGAACCGUAACACAGGUGCUGCAUGGCUGUCGUCAGCUCGUGCCGUGAGAUGUUGGGUUAAGUCCCGCAACGAGCGCAACCCUUGUCAUUAGUUGCUACGAAAGGGCACUCUAAUGAGACUGCCGGUGACAAACCGGAGGAAGGUGGGGAUGACGUCAAGUCCUCAUGGCCCUUAUGGGUAGGGCUUCACACGUCAUACAAUGGUACAUACAGAGCGCCGCCAACCCGCGAGGGGGAGCUAAUCGCAGAAAGUGUAUCGUAGUCCGGAUUGUAGUCUGCAACUCGACUGCAUGAAGUUGGAAUCGCUAGUAAUCGCGGAUCAGCAUGUCGCGGUGAAUACGUUCCCGGGUCUUGUACACACCGCCCGUCACACCAUGGGAGCGGGUUUUACCAGAAGUAGGUAGCUUAACCGCAAGGAGGGCGCUUACCACGGUAGGAUUCGUGACUGGGGUGAAGUCGUAACAAGGUAACCGUA
rnacentral:rRNA from 1 species